CCUACGGGCGGCAGCAGUCGGGAAUCUUGGGCAAUGGGCGCAAGCCUGACCCAGCGACGCCGCGUGAGGGAUGAAGGCCUUCGGGUCGUAAACCUCUGUCGGGAGGGAAGAAUGGCGGCAGGGCGAAUAGUCCUGUCGUUUGACGGUACCUCCAAAGGAAGCGCCGGCUAACUCCGUGCCAGCAGCCGCGGUAAUACGGAGGGCGCAAGCGGUGUUCGGGAGCGCGGGGCGUAACGCGCGUGUAGGCUGCGAAAUCCCGAGGCUCAACCUCGGAACGGCAUUCGAAACUGCUCGGCUCGAGUCACGGAGAGGAUGGCGGAAUUCCCGGUGUAGGGGUGAAAUCCGUAGAUAUCGGGAGGAACACCAGUGGCGAAGGCGGCCAUCUGGACGGUGACUGACGCUGAGACGCGAAAGCGUGGGGAGCAAACAGGAUUAGAUACCCCAGUAGUC
rnacentral:rRNA from 1 species